UAACUAUUCACUAUGUCUAAAACUUCUACGUAAUUUUUCCCAGAACUUUUUGAUAAAUAUGCUUCUUUUUAUUUCUUCCUCUUAUGAUAGAUGAUAGAUAUUGUGCUCUACAUUAACUCUGGUCUCUCUAUCUUUUAAUAUCCAUGGACAAGCAUAAGUGAGACUAAACAAGAGGUGGAGAUCUGCAAAGAUGAUUAAAGUUUUUAGAAGAAACAGUAGAUUAUUGCGGGAGGGUGAGAAAAUGGCCAGUCCCAAUAAAUCCAGUCUUAUUGGAGAAGCAAACACUUUAUCUUCAAGAGAUAAAAGAGCCAAUCACUUGAAAAUGCAAUAAUUUGAGUAGCCACGUGGUGGUACAUCCUAACUCAAAAAACAAUUUAAAAGAAAAAAUAAACAGACAAGAAGGAAAGUUUAGGACGACAUGUGGAACACCUUUGAUCAUCAUGAAAUGAUUCUGUGGGCCCACUAUGAAUAUGAGCCCUCAAAACGCCAUGGCCAAGUCCAACUGGUCUUUCAUCAUCACGUGACCAGUUCUUUGUCGUCGUCGUCCUUUCCGUCCUUUUUCUUUUUUCCAAAAAUUUGUAUUUUCUAUAUAUGAACGAAAAUAUUUCAUAAAAA